rnacentral:lncRNA from 1 species
UAUGUAGUCAAAACGCGAGCAUCCGGGGCAUAUACACUUCAUUGGCCAUCUUGCGAAACAUCAUCGAAGUGCUCCAUAUUCAGUAGCUGCCAAGAGUUUUGAUUGUUAUAAGAAAGCUGUAAAUAAGUAAGUACAACCAAACGUAAGCUUGUACCAAUGGGGUUUAAUCCUCAAUAUCUCAAUUCUUUCCGCAUGUAAAUUUCCAUUGAACCGUCCCUGCUUACACACCAACAGGCAAAGAAAAGUUAGUUCAGGUACCUCUAUCAAUUUUUAUUGCAGAAGCAAUGAUCUCUCCUUCGUAUUGUCCAUUAGGCUGGCUAUUAGGAAUGUCUAUUGACUAUUGAGACCCAAAUCCCACUUAUUUCUCUACAAUAUGAAGCAUACGAGGCUACGUUAAUCUCACAAAAUAAGACAGCAAUGUCUCAACAUAUCUGAUUAAGAAAUUGGAUUAGUGUACCAGGCAAAUAACAUAGCAAAUCAAGACGGU